AUCGCCUCUGCUCUCGAUCUUCAAGAGGUAAGAGUAGAUCCUCACCUCUUUUCAUGUUUUGAGUAAGUUUUGAGAAGUUUGAAGGGGUUUUAUGCAUGAUUAGGGUAGUUGUCAAAGGUUAGGGUCAUUGUUGAGUUUAUGGAUAAUGUAUGUUAUAAUGUGUUGCUAUGAUGUGUUGUUGGGGUAUAGGUUAGUUGUAAGCCCCUAUAUGUUGGAAAAUGUGUUUAUGCAUGUUGUAGAAUAGCUAAAUGCAUGAUUUGAGGGUUAUGGGAGGCAAAAAUGUGCAUGAGACCUGAGUUCUGCCAUUCUGGAAGAACUCAGGUUCGGCAGCCGAAGGCACUUUCGGCCGCCGAACCUGCCUUUGGUGGCAUGUUUUGGCUGCC
rnacentral:lncRNA from 1 species